rnacentral:rRNA from 1 species
CCGUCUCGUGGGCUCGGAGAUGUGUAUAAGAGACAGAUUUCCUAGGGGGCGUCAAAGUCUACCGAAGAAUAUCAAACUCCGAAUGCCAUAGAGGUGAUGUACGGGAGUCAGACUGCACGAGAUAAGUUGGGCAGUCAAAAGGGAAAGAGCCCAGACCUGCAGCUAAGGUCCCAAAGUGCGUGUUAAGUGGAAAAGGAUGUGGGAUUUCGAAGACAACUAGGAUGUUGGCUCAGAAGCAGCCAUACAUUCAAAGAGUGCGUAAUAGCUCACUAGUCGAGAGGUCCUGCGCCGAAAAUGUCCGGGGCUGAAACACGACACCGAAGCUCAGGAAUGUCGAAAGACAUUGGUAGAGGAGCAUUGUUAACGCAGCGAAGCGGUACUGAUAAGGAGCCGUGGAGCGUUAAGAAGAGAGAAUGCCGGAAUGAGUAGCGAGAUGGAGGUGGGAAUCCUCCAGGCCGAAUAUCCAAGGAUUCCGGGGUAAAGCUGAUCUGCCCCGGGUAAGUCGGGGCCUAAGGCGAGGCAGAAAUGCGUAGCCGAUGGAAAACAGGUGGAAAUUCCUGUACUGCGGUAUAACAGAACUGUGGGGACGCAUGUCCGAAGCGGGAGCCGGGAAAGGAAAGACCGGUGCAAGCACAGGAGCUGUAAGGGAGGCAAAACCCCCUUAUAAGGCAAUGGUGUGAUGCGGACUGAAAGAAAGUAGGGAAGUCCGCAGAGGAUGUGCCAAGAAAAGCCGCUAUUGUUUAUACCGUACCCGUACCGUAAACCGACACAGGUGGAUGAGGAGAGAAUCCUAAGGCCGGCGGGAGAAGCAUUGUUAAGGAACUCGGCAAAAUGACCCCGUAACUUCGGGAGAAGGGGUGCCUGGGCAACCAGGCCGCAGAGAAUAGGCUCAAGCAACUGUUUAGCAAAAACACAGGUCUAUGCGAAACCGAAAGGUGAGGUAUAUGGGCUGACGCCUGCCCGGUGCUGGAAGGUUAAGAGGAGAGGUCAGGAAACGAAGCCUUGAAUUUAAGCCCCAGUAAACGGCGGCCGUAACUAUAACGGUCCUAAGGUAGCGAAAUUCCUUGUCGGGUAAGUUCCGACCCGCACGAAAGGCGUAAUGAUUUGAGCGCUGUCUCGACAAUGCACCCGGUGAAAUUGAAGUACCAGUGAAGAUGCUGGUUACCUGCGCCAGGACGGAAAGACCCCAUGGAGCUUUACUCCAGCUUGAUACUGGGAUUCGAUACUGUAUGUACAGGAUAGGUGGGAGACGUUGAGCAUAGAACGCCAGUUUUAUGUGAGUCGCUGUUGGGAUACCACCCUUGCAGUAUUGGAUUUCUAACCUGCGCCCGUGACCCGGGCGGGGGACAAUGUCUGGCGGGGAGUUUGACUGGGGCGGUCGCCUCCGAAAGGGUAUCGGAGGCGCUCAAAGGUUCCCUCAGAAUGGUUGGAAACCAUUCGAAGAGUGCAAAGGCAGAAGGGAGCUUGACUGCGACACCGACGGGUGGAGCAGGUACGAAAGUAGGACUUAGUGAUCCGGUGGUAUAAAGUGGGAUUGCCAUCGCUCAACGGAUAAAAGCUACCCUGGGGAUAACAGGCUUAUCACUCCCAAGAGUUCACAUCGACGGAGUGGUUUGGCACCUCGAUGUCGGCUCAUCGCAUCCUGGGGCUGUAGCAGGUCCCAAGGGUUGGGCUGUUCGCCCAUUAAAGCGGUACGCGAGCUGGGUUCAGAACGUCGUGAGACAGUUCGGUCCCUAUC